rnacentral:lncRNA from 1 species
AGCGCUUCCGGCGUCCGCUCCGGGUCUGGACCUCCUGGCGUUUGGAUUGGAGACUGUGUUCUCUUCGCUGUUUAGUUAGCGAGCAGCUAGGGUGGAGUCGGCCUCAAAGGUUCCGCUCUCAUGUCGGCAAGUGUGAUUUGAAUUUUAAAACACUGAGCUUUGCCGGUGGAAGAGUUCCCAAGUUUAUUCCGACCUACGGAAGCCCAGGAGGACCAGGAUUACCGCUGCCGCUGGAUGCGUCCAGGGCCGGGAUGCGCGACCGUGAGACGCUGCGCUUCCGAAGCCCUCGCAGGCUUCCGGGUGCCAGAGCAGGAGACAUACCCUCUGUCCAGCCUUCCACUCUCAGCCCCCAGUUUUUUUCCUACUUUUGCUUUUCAGGAGUCGUCCAGCAAGACUUGAAAGGAGGAGAAAGGCCUGCUGGACAGGAUGCUAGAGCCUGGCAGUGACCACUUGGGGGCCCUGGGCAUUAAAUAAACUUCUUGGGGCCCGUUUCGUUAUUACA